rnacentral:lncRNA from 1 species
CUUAGUGAACUGUUUAUCUUGGUUUGAGAUAAGCGACUGGACGUAGGAUUGGUAAGAUCCGAACCAGUAUAAAAUUAUCUGUGCAAAUUUCUCUCAACCUUACUCUUUUAUUUAUAUUUAUUAUUUGCAUAGUAAGUUAAAUUGAGUAGAAAUUAAAAGGCACGCGUUUGUUUUAAAAACCCUCUUGGUUUGUUAUUCCACGC